rnacentral:rRNA from 1 species
AUUGAACGCUGGCGGCAGGCCUAACACAUGCAAGUCGAACGGCAGCACAGAAGAGCUUGCUCUUUGGGUGGCGAGUGGCGGACGGGUGAGUAAUGUCUGGGAAACUGCCCGAUGGAGGGGGAUAACUACUGGAAACGGUAGCUAAUACCGCAUAACGUCGCAAGACCAAAGUGGGGGACCUUCGGGCCUCAAACCAUCGGAUGUUCCCAGAUGGGAUUAGCUAGUAGGUGGGGUAAUGGCUCACCUAGGCGACGAUCCCUAGCUGGUCUGAGAGGAUGACCAGCCAAACUGGAACUGAGACACGGUCCAGACUCCGACGGGAGGCAGCAGUGGGGAAUAUUGCACAAUGGGCGCAAGCCUUAUGCAGCCAUGCCGCGUGUAUGAAGAAGGCCUUCGGGUUGUAAAGUACUUUCAGCGGGGAGGAAGGCGGUGAGGUUAAUAACCUCGCCGAUUGACGUUACCCGCAGAAGAAGCACCGGCUAACUCCGUGCCAGCAGCCGCAGUAA